AGGCUGUUUUGCUGUAUUUAAUUGCUAUCAAAACAAGGGCAUAGCCUUAUAUUUUAUCUAUUCUUAAUGGUAGUCAAGUGGCUUAAUUAUUGACCAUCAUUGUCAUCAAUGCCCAUAGUUUUUCUAAUUCGGGUCUUAUAGUUUUGAAAUGCCAUUUUGUUUAUUAAAUAUCUCUUCGUAUAGAUAACAACACUUCUGCUUCAGUUAGUCUUUUAAUUCACUGUAUGUCCCCUGAAAAUUUUCUAUAAUCAGGCGCUUGGUGAAGCUAAUACAUCCAACAUUUGCUCUCGUCACUAUCGAUCCCCAGAACUCAUCUUUGGGGCUACGGAAUAUAUGACAGCAUUUGAUCUUUGGUCUGCUAGUUAUGUCUUAGCCGUGCUGCUUUUGGGACAGGUCUCUAGCCUCCAUAUCGUUCUUGCAUUUCGGUGAGUAGUAUUUUAUUCUACCAUAUUUUUUUACUUUCAAUAAUUUCCUUUUCUUUAUUUUUUAUAGCCACUGUUUCAUGGAGAGAAUGCAGUUGGUCAGCUUGUAGAGAUUAUCAAGUUCUUGUUACACCAACUCGAGAAGAAAUACGAUGUAUGAAUUCAAGCUAUAAUGAUUUUAGAUUUUCCCAAAUUAAAGCCCAUCUAUGGCACAAGGUUUUCCAUAAGCAGAUGCCUCCUGAAGCCAUUGAUCUUGCCUUCGGCUGCUUCAGUACUCAGCAAGUCUUUGCUGCACUGUGGUAUGUCUAAUCUUGUAGGCUAAAAGACUGGCAUCUCAAUACCAGAGAAAGGUUGAGAAAUACAAAGUGCCACAUGAACGUGUGAGGCGGCCAUAAUUACAAUGUAAAGAAAUGUCUUGAAAAUGAAGUUGGGAGUUUUGGGGAA